rnacentral:rRNA from 1 species
AGCCACAGACAUAUCACCCUGCAGCCCACAACCGGUUACUCUCUGAAGCUAAGCAUGGCUGAGCCUGGUCAGUACCUGGAUGGGAGACCACUAGGGAACACUAGGUUGCUGUUGGAA